AGUGAACGCUGGCGGUAGGCCUAACACAUGCAAGUCGAACGGCAGCACAGUAAGAGCUUGCUCUUACGGGUGGCGAGUGGCGGACGGGUGAGGAAUACAUCGGACUCUACUUUUUCGUGGAGGAUAACGUAGGGAAACUUACGCUAAUACCGCAUACGACCUACGGGUGAAAGCAGGGGAUCUUCGGACCUUGCGCGAUUGAAUGAGCCGAUGUCGGAUUAGCUAGUUGGCGGGGUAAAGGCCCACCAAGGCGACGAUCCGUAGCUGGUCUGAGAGGAUGGUCAGCCACACUGGAACUGAGACACGGUCCAGACUACUACGGGAGGCAGCAGUGGGGAAUAUUGGACAAUGGGCGCAAGCCUGAUCCAGCCAUACCGCGUGGGUGAAGAAGGCCUUCGGGUUGUAAAGCCCUUUUGUUGGGAAAGAAAAGCAGCAGGUUAAUACCCCGCUGUUCUGACGGUACCCAAAGAAUAAGCACCGGCUAACUUCGUG
rnacentral:rRNA from 1 species